GACGAGAGCCGGCACGGACAGUCACGAAACCAAAGCAUCUGAGGGCCAGCGUGCGGAAGUACUUCUGGUUCUACACCGUAGACGGCGAAGUAACUGACAAAGAGUCUGGCCAUUCUCUCUCCUGUCUCCGUCCCUCUUUCUGGUGACACCACACCUUCAUACAGACAUGUCAGAUGUAGAAGAGGAAUAC